rnacentral:pre_miRNA from 1 species
AAUAUUCACUAUGGUUGCCAUCAUAAGCCCACCACAUGUGGCUCGCAUGCUUAAAUAACUAACGGCAUAAUUAGAUCACUUGAUGACGACGUAUAUCGGUGUUCGCUAUAUAUACUAUCUACUGGUAAGUAUAUAUAGUGAACACCGAUAUGCGUCAUCAUCAAGUGAUUUAAUUAUGCCGUUAGUUAAGCAUGCGAGCCACAUGUGGUGAGCUUACGAUGACGACCACAGUUUGUU